rnacentral:rRNA from 1 species
UAGGGAAUCUUCGGCAAUGGGGGGAACCCUGACCGAGCAACGCCGCGCGAGUGAAGAAGGUUUUCGGAUCGUAAAGCCCUGUUGUUAAGGAAGAACGAGUGUGAGAAUGGAAAGUUCAUGCUGUGACGGUACUUAACCAGAAAGGGACGGCUAACUACGUGCCAGCAGCCGCGGUAAUACGUAGGUCCCGAGCGUUGUCCGGAUUUAUUGGGCGUAAAGCGAGCGCAGGCGGUUAGAAAAGUCUGAAGUGAAAGGCAGUGGCUCAACCAAUGUGGGCUUUGGAAACUGUUAAACUUGAGUGCAGAAGGGAGGAGUGGAAUUCCAUGUGGAGCGGAGAAGUGCGGAGAUAUAUGGAGGAACACCGGUGGCGAGAGCGGCUCUCUGGUCUGUAUCUGACGCGGGGGCUCGAAAGCGUGGGGAGCAAACAGG